GGGGCGGUUUGAGGGUGGGGCGAGCGAGAGGGAGACUCGACACCGUAUCGACAGAAGGAGAGGGGUGGAGGUGGAGGUGGAGGUGGGGGAGCAGGAGGGAGGAGGAGGCAGGUAGGUGUUGAGUCAACGACGGUUUAGAAUCGCGACGUGGGUGGCGGAGGCAAGCCAAGGGACCUAAGAAGAGGCGCGGGCGCUCUUUAGACCCACUACUCUACUACUCCUGCCGCCGCCACGAGGAGGAGGAGACGGAAAAGCGGAAGCGGCCGUCGCCGGCCCCGCCUCGCGCCCGGCGCCGGCAUACCCGCCUCCCCCAGUCUCUCUGCCGCCGCCACCUCCACCUGGGACGGACCGCCAAGCGAUCGGGCGCCGACGCCCUGCGCAUGCAGCGCGACGUCUGCACCUUCGUCGUCCGGUAGAAGAGUCUGGGGUUCUUGGAGUGGCCGUUGACCCACCCCGGGCCCCAGACGUCGAUGUGGCCGCACAAGACGCGCGGGCAAGGCAGCAGCCCGCUCGAGCGGCAGCGGUCGCAGCUGGAGUUGGUGCCGCUGUAGCGCCCGAUGGAGGGCAGCCUCGAGCCGGAGGAGACGCUGGAGCGCGACGAGGUGGAGUUGAGGUUGGCGAAGACGCCGGAGCACGGGCUGUGGAAGGUGGCGGAGCAGGAGGAGGUGCUCGAGCUGGAGUCGUUGUUGGCGAAGCACCCGCGCAAGGGCUGGCAGCACGAGCUGGAGGGCAGGGAGGCCAAGGAGCUGGAGGCGAAGUUGCUAAAGCUCCCGCCGCACGGCGCCCUCGAGAAGCUGGCGGGCAAGCUGCGGUAGAAGGAGUUGGUGUUAGCGGAGGCGAAGGUCGAGGGGCUGUUGAAGCCGUUAAGCGGGCACAGGCAGUAGCAGGAGCGGUUGUUGGUGAAGCCGCCGACGGAGGGCCGCUCGGAGCCGUUGUACAGGCUGUGCGAGUUGCUCUAGGAGGAGUAGUUGUUGCCGGAGUCGAGCACGGAGGGCGGCCUCCAGCCCUACGAGGCCCUCCACUGCCACAAGCUGCAGUCGAAGUUGCGGGAGCGUCCCGGCGACGGCGGCCUCCACCGGCCCUACGUUUUCCACCUCGUCGAGCUGUAGCGCGUGUUGGACGACAGCCCCUGGCACGGCCUCCGGCACACGCUGGAGGGUGCCGAGUUCUUGAAGUGGAAGAGGAUGUUGAAGAAGUGGCCGCUCGGCGGCAGGACGCGCGCGCAGCACGGACGGCUGCCGCUGGCGGCCUUGACGGAGGGGUUGGCGGGGCGGGUCGCGUACGGCGUCGUCACGCGGCGAAAGAGACGGGCGGGUGGGCAGCUGACGCGUCGAAAGGUCACGUUCGGCAAACAGGGUGGAGCCGGUGGGGGUGGCGGUCGUAUGGGGCCGGGCAACGGUGGUCAUAUGGGGUACGGUAUGCGCAGCGGCGGCGGCGGAGGUGCAAUGGCUACUAAGAAACUGUUGUCUUCGUAACGGCCAAAGUGAAAGGGAACGGCGUGGGGAGCGGCGGCCACACCUUCUCGGUCGCCUCGAGCGGCAGUGUUUUCAUGCACCAGUAACAACAAGCACCUAAUGGUCAAGAACUAACUAUCGAUGGCCGCAUUUCUUCUUGCACCACGUAUAUAGGAAAAGAACAAAAAAACGUAACCAACCACAGACAAAAGGCGUAGCAGCAGAAGCUAGUAGGCAAACGCGCCACCGCUACCGCUUUUCCUAACCUCGUACCACUAUCCCUUUAAACUUUCAACCCUUGUUUAACCCGAACCUAACUACCGAUUAACCCAACACUUAUUAUUUGACCAACUCUCUCUGUCCAAUUCGACUCUGACUCUUUAGGUACCUUUUCAACACUACGCCCUACAUAUCUUACUAUGAAAAUCAAGCCAUUUUCCCAGUCUCUAUUCAAAGAUGUAGUUCUCUAAACAGGAUGACUUAAGGAGAACACAGUGUCGACGAAUGACAAUAAGCUAAUAAUAAUAAUUCUAUAAAUCAGCCCGAAGAACCUCUUACAAGAGGAUUGACAAUGAGAGACGAGAAUGUUUAAAACAUGAUACUGUGAUAUUUAGAUGAGGGAGACAAAAGAAUCAGGCGUAUAUUUUAAAUCAGUUUCAGUUCGAAAUAUCUCAAACUGAUUGAAAUAUAAUUUUUCAUAUUUGUAAGUGUUAUACUUUAGUUAUAAUA
rnacentral:rRNA from 1 species